rnacentral:lncRNA from 1 species
AACAAAAUAUGCGAGGAUGGACGACAAUAAUAAGGUGUCAAUAUUACAGCUCAGUUCAAUAAUUUGGGCUAAGUAUGUGUGUCACGCCCUGAGAACGGGCCUAGGCGAGACAGCCGCCGCGAGCCUAUAGACCGCGAGGCCUAUAAGGCGUGAUUAAGCAGGCAUAAACCAGCAGUGGAUCACAAAAGCUCAUAUAUUUACUUUUACAAAUUCUUUACAUUUACAAACAUCUCAAAUAAAUCAGUCUAUAGUCGCUUCCCACCCACUGGUCCAGCCUAAUUUUAGAUGACGACAUCUUCUGAACAUGCUUAAGUUACAUCGUCUGCAUCUAAAAAAUUAGAGGAAGCAAGGGUGAGUAUGACAAUUCAUACUCAGCAAGCAGAAGCAAGGGUGAGUAUGACAAUUCAUACUCAGCAAGCAGACACUUCACUAUUCAACAAGGAGCAAUGAUAUGACGGUGUAGAUCAACAGAUAAACUAAAUUCAAAGGAUAACAAGGUAAUGACCAUUGGAAUCGUAUGUAAAUGGACAAAAGAACAAAAAUACUAGAUUUAGUGAAAACAACAAGGAUUUUUAUUGGCGUCACACAUGACCGCAAGCUUCCCGACCCGGGAGUCACAGGGGUGAAAUUUCACACUUUUACACUCUUAAGAGAGGUACUCCGACGUCGACAGCCUCGGCCAGAACCACAUAGGUUCCAGAAGAGCAGAGCUCUUUGAUCCCUCAAGAACCGACCACCCGACUUACUAGCGUCGAUCGCUCCUUCGGAUCCAUCAUCGACACGCUUCUGAACGACUGUCGUUCCUAGCGGAGAGCUCAGACAGUCCCAUACCUAAGUUGUGACCGGUACUAUACAUUUGCCGUCAUGACACCAAUAAAUGGAUAUGUGGUUGAGUCAACGAUAGGAUCACUGAAAUAUCAGUCAAAGACAAUACACUCAUGACUUUUCAUGAGUUCCUCCAAAAUACUCUGAUUCCACUAACAGAUUACGAGGACUACAUGUCACUCUCUCAAUUACAACAAGGAUCAACGGAUGAUCAAUAAAGAUCAUGGUGCAACAAUAUAAUCAGAUAAUCAAAGGAAGAUAACGGAUUUGAGAGUUAGUAAAGAAGCUACUUGCCUUAGUAACAAGAUUUCUCCUUUAAAAUGGACGCGGAGUUUUGGCUCCCGAGCUCAUCUGCACCCACGCUCAGAAAAAAAAUCAAAACAAAUACUAGAAAAAUUCAAAAAAUUCCAAUAUUUUUUGGGUGAUAGAUAAUUUGACGCGCGAGAUCCGCUCCAAACUUCAACUCAUUUGAGCAUCUGAGCAGCUCUCGGCAAAAAAGACAAAAUCGGGGUCUGUAAAAAUGUUUACUGUUCACGCAUUGUUCUGACCCGAUUUGUCUUUUUUGCCGAGAGCUACUCAGAUGUCCAAAUAAGUUGAAAUUUAAAGCAAACCUCACACAACGGAUUAUCUGUGACGCCCCCGACGCCCCCGAUUUGACCGUACACUAAUCAUGCACGCAAAUGUGUACGAUCAAGAUCAGGGACUCACGGGAAGAUAUCACAACACAACUCUACAACAUAAAUAAGUCAUACAAGAAUCAUAAUAUAAGUCAGGGGCCCCGAGGGCUCGAAUACAAUUGCUCGAUCAUAGACGAGUCAGCGGAAGCAACAAUAUCUGAGUACAGACAUAAGUUAAACAAGUUUGCCUUAAGAAGGCUAGUACAAAAGUAGCAACGAUCGAAAAGGCAAGACCUCCUGCCUGGGACCUCCUAACUACUCCUCGAAGCCGAACUCCAUGUAGAAACAUCCUCGGGAUCUCUAGCUCCUGGACUCCAGCAUCUGGUUGCGACAAUCAGGUAUAGAAAGGGGAAAAGAGGGAGAAAAGCAACCGUGAGUACUCAUCCAAAGUACUCGCAAGCAAGGAUCUACACCACAUAUGCAUGGGUAUAUGUGUAAAGGGCCAUAUCGGUGGACUGAACUGCAGAAUGUCAGAAUAAGAGGGGGAUAGCUAAUCCUGUCGAAGACUACGCUUCUGGCCACCUUCAUCUUGCAGCGUGUAGAAGAGAGUAGAUUGUAAGUUCACCAAGUAGCAUCGCAUAGCAUAAUCCUACCCGGCGAUCCACUCCUCGUCGCCCUGUUAGAGAGCGAUCACCGGGUUGUAUUUGGCACUUGGAAGGGUGUGUUUUAUUAAGUAUCCAGUUCUAGUUGUCAUAAUGUCAAGGUACAACUCCGGGUCGUCCUUUUACCAAGGGACACGGCUAUUCGAAUAGAUAAACUUCCCUGCAGGGGUGCACCACAUAACCCAUCACGCUUGAUCCCAUUUGGCCGGACACACUUUUCUGGGUCAUGCCCGGCCUCGUAAGAUCAACACGUCGCAGCCCUACCUAGGCACAACAGAGAGGUCAGCACGCCGGUCUAAACCCUAUGCGCGCAGGGGUCUGGGCCCAUCGCCCAUUGCACACCUGCAUGUUGCGUACGCGGCCGGAAGCAGACCUAGCUCCCUUAAUACAAGCGCGAGCUUACGGUCCAAUGCGGCGCGCGCCACUCAGUCGCUGACGUCACGAAGGCUUCGGCUGAUACCACGACGUCGGGAUACCCAUAACUACUCCCACGUAGAUGGUUAGUGCGUAUAGACCAAAUGGCCAGACUCAGAUCAAAUACCAAGAACUCGUUAAGCGUGUUAAGUAUCCGCGAACGCCGACCAGGGCCAGGCCCACCUCUCUCCUAGGUAGUCUCAACCCGCCCUGUCGCUCCGCCACAAAGUAACAGUCGGGGGCCGUCGGGAACCCAGGCCCACCUCUACCGGGAUGGAGCCACCUGUCCUUUCAGCCCCCUCAUUCAGUCGCACUUGCGGGUACUCAAUGAGCCGACCCAACUUUAGUCACCACACGUGUCAUAUAUAUAGUAUAUAAGUAUAUACCCGUGAUCACCUCCCGAAGUGAUCACGGCCCAGUAGUAUAGCAUGGCAGACGGACAAGAGUGUAGGGCCACUGAUGGAAAACUAGCAUCCUAUACUAAGCAGUAGGAUAGCAGGCAAGGGAAACAGCUGUAGCAACAAUGACAGGCUAUGCAACAGAAUAGGAUUAACCGAAAGCAGUAACAUGCUACACUACUCUAAUGCAAGCAGUAGAGAGUAGAGUAGGCGAUAUCUGGUGAUCAAGGGGGGGGGGCUUGCCUGGUUGCUCUGGCAAGGAGGGGUCGUCGACAGCGUAGUCGGUCGGGGCACCAGCAGCGGCGUCGGUCUCGUAGUCUACCGGAGAAGACGGGAAGAAACAAUAAAUAUAAUGCAAACAUAAGCAUGACGAUGGAAGACAUGUCAAUGCGCGGUGCUAGGUGUGCCCUAACACGGUAGGAGGUGGUACCGGGAAAGGGGGGAAACAUCCGGAAAAGUAUUCCCGGUGUUUCGCGUUUUCGGACAGAUGAACCGAAGGGGGAAAGUUGCGUGUUUGCUAUGCUAGGUAUGUGUGGCGGGCGAACGGGCUGCCUAUCCAGAUUCGUCUCGUCGUUCUGAGCAACUUUUAUGUACAAAGUAUUUCCAUCUGACUUACGGUUUAUUUUAUAUGAUUUUUUAAAAUUUUAUAACAUUCUAGAAUUUAUUUUAAUUCGAAAACAUUUACAGCGUCAUCAUGACGCCAGCGGUCAAAGUUGACCAUUGACCAGUCAACUGACUGAUGGGUCCCAUUUGUCAUUGCCUCCACACUAAUUAAAGAGUUAAUCACUAUAAUUGGGCAGGUUAAUUAGGUUAAGUUAAUUAACCUAAAUUAGUUAAGUUAAUUAAUUUAAUUAAUUAAUUAAUCUAAUUAUUAAUUAUAUUUGUUAUCUCUUUUUUUUGUUUAUGGGGGAGGGCCCCACUGUCAUUUGCUAGCAGUUAACCUACUAAUAAUUAACCCCUAAGCUAAUUUGCACGGCUGGCCGGUGGUGGCUGUGCCUACACACGCACACCACAUGUGCUUGAACAUGGCCACGUCCAUGGCCAUUAGCAGCAACUAGCACCGGCUGGAGCAGCAACUAACAGCGGCAGCUGGAGGAAUUAGCAGCAGCAUCUAGGAGCAGCCGUAGUCUAGCUAGAGCAGCAGCGGAGGCUACGCAGAAGAGUAGCAGUAUGCAGCAACUAGCACCGCCGCAAGCCGUAGCAGUACAGCGCCGCAGCAGCAGCAGCAUGGCAGGGCGCGGCCGACGUGUGGGCGAGGCGGCAGCGGGCAUGCGCGGGGUGGCCAAGGGCGUGGCGGGAGCGCGGGCAAGGCUAGGCGGGCGCGGCCAGGAGCAGCAACAGUAGGCACACACGUAUGUACGCAUACGCGCGAGCUCGGAUGAGCUCGGGACAGAGGCUAUGGCAAUGAAUCGAAGGGGCAAGCAGGGGGGAAUAGAGGAGGAGCUCACUACGGUGUUGUAGGGACAGGCAACGGGCUCGGGGAGGCUCCAGCGGCGGCGAAUCGAAGGUGGCGACCGGCGAUGUAGAAGGUUGAAGACGGGGCUGGAUCCGGAUAUGGACAGGGGCCAGCUUGUUCCAGUGGGCGAGGAAGUCGAAGAAGACGCCGACGGAGCUUCUGGACACGUCGGUAGGCUGCGGGGUAGACGGUCGCUGCGGAGGAGUGCGACGAACGGCGACGGAGACGCUCGGGAUGGUGGGGGAGAGAGAGCGAUGCGAGGCGGGGAAAAGAC